AUUGAACGCUGGCGGCAUGCCUUACACAUGCAAGUCGAACGGCAGCACGGGGGCAAUCCUGGUGGCGAGUGGCGAACGGGUGAGUAACAUAUCGGAACGUGCCCUGGAGGUGGGGAUAACUAGUCGAAAGACUAGCUAAUACCGCAUACGAUCUACGGAUGAAAGGUGGGGGAUCGCAAGACCUCAUGCUCGUGGAGCGGCCGAUAUCUGANAGCUAGUUGGUAGGGGUAAAGGCCUACCAAGGCAUCGAUCAGUAGCUGGUCU
rnacentral:rRNA from 1 species